ACAGCUCGGAAAAGUUUCCUUGUUUCUAUAUUAUGCUAAUCGCGGCCGCUCUCGCCGCCUCCCAUUGGCCCGGAGUACCAGUCAAUUUCCCUUUUGGGCCUGACGUCACAAGUGCUAUAAAACUCAGCAAUUGCUUUAAACUCUUCUUGCUGGAUCAGAGGCUUUAAAAUCUUUUUUUCAUCUUCGAGCUGUAGCUCGGGCUGCUCGUCGGCUCGGCCUCUCCCCUUUUGCUCUCCGCCUCGCCUUUCCCCAGGACUUCGCUAUUUCGCUUUAAAAAAACAAAACAAAAAAAAGGCAAGAAAGAACUCCGCUCCCCCCUCCCUUUCCUCCAGCCCGGCUGCACCUCUGUCUUGCACUUUGCACGGAGGGAGGAAGACCGCGAGGUUGAGAGAGAGAGAGGAAAGAAAAAAAAAAAAAAAAACCAGGCAGAAGAAGAGGCGAGAAGCAUGAAGUGUUAACUCCCCUGUGCCAAGGCCCGCGCCGCCGGGACAGCGGCCCGCCGCGCCUCCAGCCCCGAGCGGCCGCCGCGCGCGCCCCGCCUGCAGCCCGGGCCGGCGAGGCGAGCACUCCUUAUGCAAAACGCGCAGCGGAGCGGCGAGCGGGGGACGCCGCGCACCCAGCCGGGCUCUUCUGGCUUCGCCGCCGCCGCCGCCACCGCAGCCCGCAGAGGACCUUCCCGAGCCUGAAGCCGCCGGCUCGGCGCGCUAGGAGGCGAGCAGGCGAGGAGGGGCCGGGGCGAGCGAGCAAGCACAUUGGCGUGAGCAGGGGGGAGGGAGGGCGGGCGCGGGGGGCGCGGGCAGGGCGGGGGGGUGUGUGCGCGCUCGGAGGUUUCGGGCCAGCCACCGCCGCGCGAGCUAGAAGCGCCCCAGCCCGGCAAGCUGGCUCACCCGCUGGCCACCCAGCACAGCCCGCUGGCCCCUCUCCUGCAGCCCAUCUGGCGGAGCGGCGGCGGCGGCGGCGGCGGCGGCAGGAGAAUGGCAUCAGAACUGGCAAUGAGCAACUCCGACCUGCCCACCAGUCCCCUGGCCAUGGAAUAUGUUAAUGACUUCGAUCUGAUGAAGUUUGAAGUGAAAAAGGAACCGGUGGAGACCGACCGCAUCAUCAGCCAGUGUGGCCGUCUCAUCGCCGGGGGCUCGCUGUCCUCCACCCCCAUGAGCACGCCGUGCAGCUCGGUGCCCCCUUCCCCCAGCUUCUCGGCGCCCAGCCCGGGCUCGGGCAGCGAGCAGAAGGCGCACCUGGAAGACUACUACUGGAUGACCGGCUACCCGCAGCAGCUGAAUCCCGAGGCGCUGGGCUUCAGCCCCGAGGACGCGGUCGAGGCGCUCAUCAGCAACAGCCACCAGCUCCAGGGCGGCUUCGAUGGCUACGCGCGCGGGGCGCAGCAGCUGGCCUCGGCGGCCGGGGCCGGCGCCGGCGCCUCCCUGGGCGGCAGCGGCGAGGAGAUGGGCCCCGCCGCCGCCGUGGUGUCCGCCGUGAUCGCCGCGGCCGCCGCGCAGAGCGGCGCGGGCCCGCACUACCACCACCACCACCACCACCACGCCGCCGGCCACCACCAUCACCCGACGGCCGGCGCGCCCGGCGCCGCGGGCAGCGCGUCCGCCUCGGCCGGUGGCGCGGGCGGCUCGGGCGGCGGCGGCCCAGCCAGCGCCGGGGGCGGCGGCGGCGGCGGCGGAGGCGGCGGCGGCGGCGGCGGCGGGGGCGCGGCGGGGGCGGGGGGCGCCCUGCACCCUCACCACGCCGCCGGCGGCCUGCACUUCGACGACCGCUUCUCCGACGAGCAGCUGGUGACCAUGUCGGUGCGCGAGCUGAACCGGCAGCUGCGCGGGGUCAGCAAGGAGGAGGUGAUCCGGCUGAAGCAGAAGAGGCGGACCCUGAAAAACCGCGGCUAUGCCCAGUCCUGCCGCUUCAAGAGGGUGCAGCAGAGGCACGUCCUGGAGUCCGAGAAGAACCAGCUGCUGCAGCAGGUCGACCACCUCAAGCAGGAGAUCUCCAGGCUGGUGCGCGAGAGGGACGCGUACAAGGAGAAAUACGAGAAGCUGGUGAGCAGCGGCUUCCGAGAAAACGGCUCGAGCAGCGACAACCCGUCCUCUCCCGAGUUUUUCAUAUGCCACGGGCAGAAGCUUUAACAGAGCCGAGCACCCCGAUUUUCUCUCGGGCCCUGGAUAGUAUUGUAUUUAUCAGUGAUGUCAAACGUGGUCAUUCAUCAGAGCCGUACCCAAGGGAAUCCUCUACAUCAGUGAUGUGAAAAAUCCUGUUGCCUGAAGUCAAAGAGAUGUUCCUGACAUUGGCUAAGACCCAUCCGGAUGCAACCAAGCCUUAACAGAGCUGCCUUGGGGCAGGGCAGGUGGGACACAUAUACAUAGGGGAGGGGCCUGUUGGUAGCUUUCCUGUCACCUGUGGGAGUUUCCUGAUGGAACUUGUAAAAACAGCUCUUCCCGGGUUCUAAGUACCCAUCACUUUUUUUUUUUCCUAGUCUUAACAAUUAGCUGAGUGGAUAUGUUUUAUCCUGACUGUACCUAUGCUGACAUGAAUUCAAACCAAUGUAAGGAAGGCUUUACUCUGUUAUGAACUGGGAUAUAAACAAAAAACACAGUAAAAGGACUCUGAAAUCUUGUUUCUACUUUGUAUAACGUGUCCUCCCAUGUUGCAGUAACCAUCCAGAAAUAAAACGCAAGCAUGGUUUCCCAACGUCCAGUGUCAGUGUGGGUACCUGAGCACAGCUAUUUAAUUCCAACAUAAAAUUAAAGAUGUCAUAACCGUAUUUCCCUUGCAGAGUCCAUCAAAAUAUUUUAACAGAAAUGGUGAAUGAGGUGUUCUCAUGCAAAGGCCAUGUGAAAACACAGACCGUAAGUUUUCGUCUCCUGGUGCCUCGGUUUGAAAAGCCCAAGUGAGAACCGUGGCUGGUCUUGACUCGGGCUUCACUGCAGACCCCCUCAGGGCUUCUCGGUAUUCAGUUUUUAGAGUAACUGCCCCGUCCUGGAAGACAGCAAGGGGUAGGAUGCUGUCUGGCAUGCAGACCUGGAGAGCAGACCAAUCCGUCACAGAUGCCAUGAGUAUGUCUUAAGCACAUUACAUCACUGUAUUUGUUGGCACCGAGAAAAUAAGGGAAAAUAAUUCUGUUUAAAGUGUUUUAUUACUGGGACUAACAUACCUAAUUGUUUGUUGUUGUUGUUGUUGUUUGUUUAAUUAGAUUAUGCUCCUGCCUAAGCCCCCCCAUCCCCCUUUCCAUACAAGGCUGCCUGAUGUCUUCCUUUCUGUGGACACUGGCCCACUAGUGAGCAGAUUUAAUCAAUUAAUUAUGGCAGAGCAGGUACAGGGCAAGCAGCUCAAUGAACUCACAUUAUUUCCAGUCAACGUUAGAAUGCUAUCAAAGGGGCUGCCUUAAAAAAGGAACAUUAU